rnacentral:lncRNA from 1 species
UGUGGGUAGGGAAGCAGACCUCACCCUCUAUACCAGCCAAUGACUAUGUCCCCAGGGACAAGGAAUUUUGGCAUGAUUAAGCCACCUUUCGCUAGCCUCGGCCAAAAGACUCUAGAUGAAUUCCGGUCGGGAGCAAGACAUGGUUAGAAGCAGACAGGCAAGAGCAGGUCGGACUGUGAUCAAGAGACCACGUAUAGCACUCCUGGAAAGCAGACAACGUUACUGAGCUUGGAAGACAGGAGCCCAGAGUGAUUCAAUUCAAGAUCAGACAGAACCUGCCCCAGCACUGACCUCUGCAGCACCUUCAGUCAGGGAAAAACCUCCGACCCGAGCAAGUCUAACAAAGUUUCCAGUCGACACCCCUGCACCUUCUGAAGCAAGCAAGUCAGAUUCUUGUAAAAAGGAGGAGAUCAAGCAGGAAAAGGAAGUUGAAGAUAUUCUAUUAAAGUAAAGUUUUUGACUCUAAACAAAUUCCUCAGUUCUAUAACUUGCUUCCAACCAAGGAUGCGCCACUCCAACUGUCGUGACGCAUCCUUCAUCAAUCCUUCAAGAUUGGGUUGGUGUUCACUUGACUUGACUAGAAGGCAGCUGGGAGCUUCCUCAGUUCUAUAGAUAGAUGCGUAGAUACCUUUUGAUUCUAUAGACUCACUAAAGCAAAUUGGGAAUUUAUAGUAAGUAAUAGUAGAGUAN